GUUUGAUCCUGGCUCAGAUUGAACGCUGGCGGCAGGCCUAACACAUGCAAGUCGAGCGGAUGAGUGGAGCUUGCUCCAUGAUUCAGCGGCGGACGGGUGAGUAAUGCCUAGGAAUCUGCCUGGUAGUGGGGGAUAACGUCCGGAAACGGGCGCUAAUACCGCAUACGUCCUACGGGAGAAAGCAGGGGACCUUCGGGCCUUGCGCUAUCGGAUGAGCCUAGGUCGGAUUAGCUAGUUGGUGAGGUAAUGGCUCACCAAGGCGACGAUCCGUAACUGGUCUGAGAGGAUGAUCCAGUCACACUGGAACUGAGACACGGUCCAGACUCCUACGGGAGGCAGCAGUGGGGAAUAUUGGACAAUGGGCGAAAGCCUGAUCCAGCCAUGCCGCGUGUGUGAAGAAGGUCUUCGGAUUGUAAAGCACUUUAAGUUGGGAGGAAGGGUUGUAGAUUAAUACUCUGCAAUUU
rnacentral:rRNA from 1 species